UAUCGAGAAAUAUUUAUAAUGUAUCAAAAUAAUAUUGUACAUGUGCCACACAUAGAUAAAAUCAAUCCCAAUUUUAACCUAAUACACCGGUAUACACACAUCGCACGUGUCGCAAAUCAGAAUUAUGUAGUCCAUUAUUUUGAUACUUAUGGGCUUAGGUAAUUGGGCUGUCCAAAUCAUAAGCCCAUUAUUAGCCGACACAUCG
rnacentral:lncRNA from 1 species